CCUCCACUCCACGAUCGCCAAUUACCACUUAUAUACAAGCAAUCUCUGAAAAACUACAUUUAUUCCACCAUUUAUAUGUGUGAGGUGUUAUUCUAUGUUCGUGUAAUAAUUUAUGUCCAACACAGAAAAAGAAAAUUUCUCUCCUACUCAAAUCAACAAAUAUUCCAACACCGGCAUGCAAGGUUUCUAUUUGAGAAUGCAAGAGGAGAAUCAUGCAUAAUCUGAAACCAGUGUUUUCAAAAUUUGUGCAAAGACAACCCAAAAGCCUAACAUUUUACUGGGGAAAACGAGUGUGUCAACAACUUCAAUGAAGCAAAUUGGGUAUUUACAAAUCUGUUUGUCUAUAAAAGAGCAUAUUCGUCU